rnacentral:lncRNA from 1 species
AUACAAACAAGUAUGUUUACUCAGCUUUAAUCUCUUUUGAAAAUGAUUAGUUGACAUAAGAAAUACAUCCGACUUAAAUUUUUAUCAUUAGGUCUGCAUCUUUCGAAAAUUCGUUCUUUCGAAGUUCGAGACAUCAGGGUCAAUUUACAUUAAUUUUACUUCGACGGGACUAUAAAAUUUACUCGACUUAACCGAGUAUUCGAAUCAACCGAGUUCGACUCAUCAGAGGUAAUUAUGCAUUGAACAAACGGGAAUUUUACCGGGACCGAGAAAUUACUUCGACUCAUCCGAGUUUUCGACACAACCGAGUUCGACACAACGAGGUUCGACUGUAAUUUAAUCAUUAAAAACG